AGAGUUUGAUUAUGGCUCAGGAUGAACGCUGGCGGCGUGCUUAACACAUGCAAGUCGAACGGAGUUUUUAACGGAAGUUUCGGAUGGAAGUUUAAGAACUUAGUGGCGGACGGGUGAGUAACGCGUGGGUAACCUGCCUCAUACAGGGGGAUAACAGUUAGAAAUGACUGCUAACACCGCAUAAUAUAGCGAAACCGCAUGAUUUUGCUAUCAAAUAUUUAUAGGUAUGAGAUGGGCCCGCGUCUGAUUAGCUAGUUGGUGGGGUAAAGCCUACCAAGGCGACGAUCAGUAGCCGGCUUGAGAGAGUGACCGGCCACAUUGGGACUGAGACACGGCCCAAACUCCUACGGGAGGUAGCAGUGGGGAAUAUUGGACAAUGGGGGAAACCCUGAUCCAGCGACGCCCGCGUGAGUGAAGAAGUAUUUCGGUAUGUAAAGCUCUAUCAGCAGGGAAGAUAAUGACAGUACCUGACUAAGAAGCCCCGGCUAACUACGUGCCAGCAGCUGC
rnacentral:rRNA from 1 species